GACGAACGCUGGCGGCGCGCCUAACACAUGCAAGUCGAACGAGCGAGAGAGAGCUUGCUUUCUCAAGCGAGUGGCGAACGGGUGAGUAACGCGUGAGGAACCUGCCUCAAAGAGGGGGACAACAGUUGGAAACGACUGCUAAUACCGCAUAAGCCCGCGACCCGGCAUCGGGUAGAGGGAAAAGGAGCAAUCCGCUUUGAGAUGGCCUCGCGUCCGAUUAGCUAGUUGGUGAGGUAACGGCCCACCAAGGCGACGAUCGGUAGCCGGACUGAGAGGUUGAACGGCCACAUUGGGACUGAGACACGGCCCAGACUCCUACGGGAGGCAGCAGUGGGGAAUAUUGCACAAUGGGGGAAACCCUGAUGCAGCGACGCCGCGUGGAGGAAGAAGGUCUUCGGAUUGUAAACUCCUGUUGUUGAGGAAGAUAAUGACGGUACUCAACAAGGAAGUGACGGCUAACUACGUGCCAGCAGCCGCGGUAAAACGUAGGUCACAAGCGUUGUCCGGAAUUACUGGGUGUAAAGGGAGCGCAGGCGGGAAGACAAGUUGGAAGUGAAAUCCAUGGGCUCAACCCAUGAACUGCUUUCAAAACUGUUUUUCUUGAGUAGUGCAGAGGUAGGCGGAAUUCCCGGUGUAGCGGUGGAAUGCGUAGAUAUCGGGAGGAACACCAGUGGCGAAGGCGGCCUACUGGGCACCAACUGACGCUGAGGCUCGAAAGUGUGGGUAGCAAACAGGACUAGAUACCCUGGUAGUCCACACUGUAAACGAUGAUUACUAGGUGUUGGAGGAUUGACCCCUUCAGUGCCGCAGUUAACACAAUAAGUAAUCCACCUGGGGAGUACGACCGCAAGGUUGAAACUCAAAGGAAUUGACGGGGGCCCGCACAAGCAGUGGAGUAUGUGGUUUAAUUCGACGCAACGCGAAGAACCUUACCAAGUCUUGACAUCCUGCGACGGUACUGGAAACAGUACUUUCCUUCGGGACGCAGAGACAGGUGGUGCAUGGUUGUCGUCAGCUCGUGUCGUGAGAUGUUGGGUUAAGUCCCGCAACGAGCGCAACCCUUAUGGUCAGUUACUACGCAAGAGGACUCUGGCCAGACUGCCAUUGACAAAACGGAGGAAGGUGGGGAUGACGUCAAAUCAUCAUGCCCUUUAUGACUUGGGCUACACACGUACUACAAUGGCGUUAAACAAAGAGAAGCAAGACCGCGAGGUGGAGCAAAACUCAGAAACAACGUCCCAGUUCGGACUGCAGGCUGCAACUCGCCUGCACGAAGUCGGAAUUGCUAGUAAUCGCAGAUCAGCAUGCUGCGGUGAAUACGUUCCCGGGCCUU
rnacentral:rRNA from 1 species